GGGCGGGCUGACUCAGGGAAGAAGGUUGACUGGUAUGCUUUAAAGGCUCACUCUGCCCCAUGGCUGAAUAGAUUCUCAGGAAUGCCCAUUUUCCUGACCUUCACGAACAGCCUCAACUCCGCCUCAUCCUCCUCAGAUCAGCCUAGACUUCUCCCUGUCUAUGUGACCUUGGUGAGAAGCCCGAGACCCAGGGAAGGCAAAGACUGUGACUGAAGUCCCAUGGACAGUACAUGUGACUCUGAAGUUCCACUUUUCUGUCUUCCACCGUGGAGGCCUGGGGCAGGGGGCGGCGAAGACAGGGCAUGCCAGCCGCCACUCCUCCGUUCUGUUUCUGCUGCCAAGUCCUGACCCUGGUGCCUCUCUGCCCACCAUUUGCAGAAAGGCGUAAGUACAGACACCUUCACUUCGUGCUGGAAGCCAGGCCUGCCUGGGAUCACUGCAUUCACCUUUCUCCCUUCCCUGGGCUUCUCUUUCCUCCUUCCUACCUGCCUGGCUACCUGACUUGUAAGUAAGAUAUAAGAUACAAUAAAAUACCUGGAGCACAAACAUCUAA